UUGUUUUUCUUCGCUAAGAACAGCCUUGACUCUAAAGUAUAAAAUCAUCAGACAUGGUUUGAAUGUGAUCUAAUUUUCAGAGAAACAGCCUGUCCACUCACCAUAUCUGAAAACCACAGGAGCAGGGCUACUUGAAAAGAGUUCAUUUAGCCAGAUCUGCCACAUGUGGUCCUAAGAGGCACGUGAAGAACAUUCUGGGAAAGGAUGCCUGGAGUAUUGAGAAAUGAGUGGCUCAAAUAAAACCUGCAUUUACUUAAAUAUAAAUCUACCCACAGGUGCCCUUACGGGCUAAAUGCAGUAAGAAAUUAUCAUUAAACAGGAAAUGAUACAGUU